rnacentral:lncRNA from 1 species
CCCCCUGACUCCAAAUGUAGUUCUUUGUCCUCUGUACCAUGUUCUGUCUCUACACCUUGCACGUAGUAGUAGGUGUUUAAUAAAUGUGUGUUGAAUUGAAUCUAAUUGAACAGUAGUGAACACUCCAAAUCCUCAAGGUUACUCGUCUUCCUCCUGAGAAGGUCACCCUCUGCCACUGGGUUUACAUCCAGGACAGGCUUGGCAGUGAUAACAGUAACUAGCGUUUACAUAGUACUUUCAUAUUUAUAAAGGGUUUCACGUGUUCUCUCAUCUGAUCCAACGCCACCCAUUGAAGUAGGUGCCAUUAUUAGCCCUCUUUUACAGAAGAGGAAACAGGCUGACAGUUAAGUGAUUUGUCAGGAUCACACAGCCAGUAAGUGUCUGACUCAGGACUCGAACUCAGGUUUUCCUGACCUCCUUACUUCAUCCAUUAUGCCACCAGAAUUGUCUUCCAAAGUAAUGGGGAGGAGGGGUGUGGCUCACCUGUUGCAGUGGGUGUGGGUGGACCGAGGGUGUGGGAUGCCAGGUGGAUGGGACGGGAAGCGUUCUCGAAUUCUGCGGUCAGCUGCCUCUGCAGCCAGGCUGACGUGGCCCAGGCCGGGCCAGCGGCGGGGGCAGCGAGCGGGGGCAGCGGCGGCAGCAGCGCUCGCUGUGGGCUCCGCAGGCUAGGACCCUGGCCGCCCGCCCCCGCCGCGGCCCAGCAGGGGGCGCUGCAGAGCCUCGGCUGGCUGGGGCGCUCCGGGAGCGCACGGAGCAGGAGCCACCUGUGCUGCGGCGCCGCUGCCGCCUGCGCCAGGCGAGAGCCGGGGAGGACAGCGGGCCGGGCUGGAGGCGGCGCCCGUGCGGCCAGAAGGACGCCCCGUCCUCCAGCCGCAGCCGCCCCUCCGAGCCCGGGGCAGCGAAGGCAGCGGCGGCUCCAUCGGCCGCAGCUGCAGCUGCUGCUGCGCUCGCUCGCUCCCUGCCCACCUGCCCCGCUGGGCGCCCCCUCCCUCCUCUCCGCCCGUGACGCCGACAGACCCUUGGCCCCGGCUGGCAUCGGGAGCUCGGCCCGGGGGCCCGGCCCGACCCGACCCAGAGCUAUGAACACAGCCCGCCGCAGACGGGGCUUCCCGGGCCCGGCCCGAGCCCCCCGCACGCUCCUGCAGCAGCUGUCCGGGCCGCGGGCGAAUAAACCAUAA